rnacentral:lncRNA from 1 species
GCGCGGCGGGCACCGCCACCUCCGCGCUGUGCCUGCUGCUCUCGCUCACCGCCGUGGCCGUGUGCCUGCUGCUGGGCGCCAAGACGGCGGAGCUGCAGGGCCGGCUGGCCGCGCUGGAGGAGCGGGGCGCCGCCGGCCACGGGCCGCUGCUGGACGCGCUGCAGCCCCGCGUGGAGCAGCUGUUCCGCGAGAAACUGGGCGAAGGACUCGCGAGGCUGCGGACGGCGCGAGAGGCCCCCCAGGACUGCGUGUGCCCCCCAGGGCCCCCGGGGAGGCGAGGGAAGCCCGGGCGGCGCGGAGAGCCAGGUAAGCAUCACCUGCCCUGGCACCGAGGGAAUGGGGGUGCCAUGGGUGGUGUGGGAGCCUCUGGGGAGUGACACCUGCCACCUCCAUCCCACAGGACAGGGGCUUCCUCACCCCUGUGUGCUGGGCAUGAAGGGUUUUAUUAAAAACUAAAAAAACCAAACCAAAACCAACUCCCAAAACCCUAAAAACCAAAACCAAUUUUUUUAAAAAUUGAAGGAAGAAACCAGCCAAUCAA